ACCUGGCCGGAACUACACGGUGGAAGUAUCUGCUGUGGAUGGAGACAACUUCACUGAAGGCGAUGCUGCCUCUCUCACGGUUUCCACAGUGCCCGGAAACAUUUUAGGUUUGACUGCUGAAAACAUCACGACAAAGUCCUUCAGCCUAACGU